rnacentral:rRNA from 1 species
AUUGAACGCUGGCGGCAGGCCUAACACAUGCAAGUCGAACGAGUGGCGGACGGGUGAGUAAUGUCUGGGAAACUGCCUGAUGGAGGGGGAUAACUACUGGAAACGGUAGCUAAUACCGCAUACCAUCGGAUGUGCCCAGAUGGGAUUAGCUAGUAGGGGGGGUAAAGGCUCACCUAGGCGACGAUCCCUAGCUGGUCUGAGAGGAUGAACAGACACACUGGAAAUGAGACACUGGCCAGACUCCUACGGGAGGCAGAAGUGGGGAAUAUUGCACAAUGGGCGCAAGCAUGAUGCAGCCAUGCAGCGUGUAUGAAGAAGGCCUUCGGGUUGUAAAGUACUUUCAGCGGGGAGGCGUUACCCGCAGAAGAAGCACCGGCUAACUCCGUGCCAGCAGCCGCGGUAAUAC